AUCUGCGGCCAUAGGACCCUGAAAGCACUGCAUCCCGUCCGAUCUGCAAAGUUAAGCAGGG
rnacentral:rRNA from 1 species